CAGUCGCCACGGUAAUACGAAGGGUGCAAGCGUCAAUCGGAAUUACUGGGCGUAAAGCGUGUGUAGGUGGUUGUUUAAGUCUGUCGUGAAAGCCCUGGGCUCAACCUGGGAAUUGCGAUGGAUACUGGGCGACUAGAGUGCGGUAGAGGAUAGUGGAAUUUCCGGUGUAGCAGUGAAAUGCGUAGAGAUCGGAAGGAACAUCUGUGGCGAAGGCGACUAUCUGGGCCAACACUGACUCUGAGACACGAAAGCGUGGGGAGCAAACAGGAUUAGAUACCCCAGUAGUCCCUGUCUCUUAUAC
rnacentral:rRNA from 1 species